GGGCCCGCACAAGCGGUGGAGCAUGUGGUUUAAUUCGAUGCAACGCGAAGAACCUUACCAUCCCUUGACAUCCAGUGAACUUUCUAGAGAUAGAUUGGUGCCUUCGGGAACACUGAGACAGGUGCUGCAUGGCUGUCGUCAGCUCGUGUUGUGAGAUGUUGGGUUAAGUCCCGCAACGAGCGCAACCCUUAUCCUUAGUUGCCAGCGAUUCGGUCGGGAACUCUGGGGAGACUGCCGGUGAUAAACCGGAGGAAGGUGGGGACGACGUCAAGUCAUCAUGGCCCUUACGGGAUGGGCUACACACGUGCUACAAUGGCGCGUACAAAGGGCAGCGAAUCAGAAUGUCGCGGUGAAUACGUUCCCGGGCCUUGUACACACCGCCCGUCACACCAUGGGAGUGGGUUGCUCCAGAAGUGGUUAGUCUAACCU
rnacentral:rRNA from 1 species